UUCUGGCUCAGGAUGAACGCUAGCGAUAGGCUUAACACAUGCAAGUCGAGGGGCAGCACGGUGUAGCGAUACACUGGUGGCGACCGGCGUACGGGUGCGUAACACGUAUACAACCUACCCGCUAGUUGGGGGAUAACCCGGCGAAAGUCGGACUAAUACCCCAUAUUAUUCUUACCGGGCAUCCGGUAGGUCUGAAAGAUUUAUCGAUUGCGGAUGGGCAUGCGGAUGAUUAGCUAGUAGGUGGGGUAACGGCUCACCUAGGCGACGAUCAUUAGGGGUUCUGAGAGGAAGGUCCCCCCACACUGGAACUGAGACACGGUCCAGACUCCUACGGGAGGCAGCAGUGAGGAAUAUUGGUCAAUGGGCGCUAGCCUGAACCAGCCAAGUCGCGUGAAGGAUGACAAGAUCUAUGGUUUGUAAACUUCUUUUGCAGGGGAGUAAAGUGCGACACGUGUGUUGUAUUGCAAGUACCCUGCGAAUAAGCAUCGGCUAACUCCGUGCCAGCCGCUGC
rnacentral:rRNA from 1 species